rnacentral:rRNA from 1 species
CCUACGGGUGGCAGCAGUGGGGGAUAUUGCACAAUGGGGGGAACCCUGAUGCAGCGACGCCGCGUGGGUGAAGAAGCGCCUCGGCGCGUAAAGCCCUGUCAGCAGGGAAGAAAAUGACGGUACCUGAAGAAGAAGCCCCGGCGAACUACGCGCCAGCAGCCGCGGUAAUACGUAGGGGGGAAGCGGUGUCCGGAUUUAUUGGGGGGAAAGGGGGCGCAGGCGGGGGUGCAAGGCAGGAGUGAAAACCCGGGGCCCAACCCCGGGACUGCACUUGAAACUGCGGGGCUGGAGUGCAGGAGGGGCAGACGGAAUUCCUAGGGUAGCGGUGAAAUGCGUAGAUAUCAGGAGGAACACCAGUGGCGAAGGCGGUCUGCUGGACAGCAACUGACGUUGAGGCGCGAAAGCGUGGGGAGCAAACAGGAUUAGAUACCCCAGUAGUC